rnacentral:rRNA from 1 species
CUACGGGGUGCUGCAGUGGGGAAUAUUGGGCAAUGGGCGCAAGCCUGAUCCAGCAAUGCCGCGUGAGUGAAGACGGCCUUAGGGUUGUAAAACUCUUUCGCUAGGGAAGAUAAUGACUGUACCUAGUAAAGAAGUCCCGGCUAACUCCGUGCCAGCAGCCGCGGUAAUACGGAGGGGACUAGCGUUGUUCGGAAUUACUGGGCGUAAAGAGUUCGUAGGCGGACUGACAAGUUAGAGGUGAAAUCCCAGGGCUCAACCCUGGAACUGCCUUUAAAACUGUCAGUCUAGAGACCGGAAGAGGUUAGGGGAAUACCUAGUGUAGAGGUGAAAUUCGUAGAUAUUAGGUGGAACACCAGUGGCGAAGGCGCCUAACUGGUCCGGUACUGACGCUGAGGAACGAAAGCGUGGGGAGCAAACAGGAUUAGAUACCCCUGUAGUC